CUAGGCUGAAAGGAUGAUGGUCCCCGAGUCGAAAGGCGAGGGGUGAAAAGGGAACACGGUGAGAUCCGCUUUCGGGUCGAGGCCGUGGCUGCCCCCGCAACUGUAAGCGGCGAGCGACAUCCGGAAAUGCCACUGGCCGGCAAGGCUGGGAAGGCAGGAUGAAGCCGAGACCCGCGAGCCAGGAGACCUGCCAUCAGCUGAGUUGACCG
rnacentral:ncRNA from 2 species